GUUAUAAAUGGGUUAGAACUUACAGAAGAUGCUGUUAAAGAAUUCAUAGCAAAGCAGGUGGUGUUUUACAAGAAACUGCACAAAGUGUACUUUGUUCAUGCCAUUCCAAAGUCUCCUUCUGGAAAGAUAUUGAGAAAAGAUCUGAGAGCCAAACUAGCCAUGUCCGCAGCCUCUCAAAUUCCCUAGAAACUAUAUAUAUGUAUCUGUUUGAUUUC